GUAUUUGGUCGUAGACCCGAAACCAGGUGAUCUACCCUUGGUCAGGUUGAAGUUCAGGUAACACUGAAUGGAGGACCGAACCGACUUACGUUGAAAAGUGAGCGGAUGAACUGAGGGUAGCGGAGAAAUUCCAAUCGAACCUGGAGAUAGCUGGUUCUCUCCGAAAUAGCUUUAGGGCUAGCCUCAAGUGAUGAUUAUUGGAGGUAGAGCACUGUUUGGACGAGGGGCCCCUCUCGGGUUACCGAAUUCAGACAAACUCCGAAUGCCAAUUAAUUUAACUUGGGAGUCAGAACAUGGGUGAUAAGGUCCGUGUUCGAAAGGGAAACAGCCCAGACCACCAGCUAAGGUCCCAAAAUAUAUGUUAAGUGGAAAAGGAUGUGGCGUUGCCCAGACAACUAGGAUGUUGGCUUAGAAGCAGCCAUCAUUUAAAGAGUGCGUAAUAGCUCACUAGUCGAGUGACACUGCGCCGAAAAUGUACCGGGGCUAAACAUAUUACCGAAGCUGUGGAUUGUCCUUUGGACAAUGGUAGGAGAGCGUUCUAAGGGCGUUGAAGCAUGAUCGCAAGGACAUGUGGAGCGCUUAGAAGUGAGAAUGCCGGUGUGAGUAGCGAAAGACGGGUGAGAAUCCCGUCCACCGAUUGACUAAGGUUUCCAGAGGAAGGCUCGUCCGCUCUGGGUUAGUCGGGUCCUAAGCUGAGGCCGACAGGCGUAGGCGAUGGAUAACAGGUUGAUAUUCCUGUACCACCUAUAAUCGUUUUAAUCGAUGGGGGGACGCAGUAGGAUAGGCGAAGCGUGCGAUUGGAUUGCACGUCUAAGCAGUAAGGCUGAGUAUUAGGCAAAUCCGGUACUCGUUAAGGCUGAGCUGUGAUGGGGAGAAGACAUUGUGUCUUCGAGUCGUUGAUUUCACACUGCCGAGAAAAGCCUCUAGAUAGAAAAUAGGUGCCCGUACCGCAAACCGACACAGGUAGUCAAGAUGAGAAUUCUAAGGUGAGCGAGCGAACUCUCGUUAAGGAACUCGGCAAAAUGACCCCGUAACUUCGGGAGAAGGGGUGCUCUUUAGGGUUAACGCCCAGAAGAGCCGCAGUGAAUAGGCCCAAGCGACUGUUUAUCAAAAACACAGGUCUCUGCUAAACCGUAAGGUGAUGUAUAGGGGCUGACGCCUGCCCGGUGCUGGAAGGUUAAGAGGAGUGGUUAGCUUCUGCGAAGCUACGAAUCGAAGCCCCAGUAAACGGCGGCCGUAACUAUAACGGUCCUAAGGUAGCGAAAUUCCUUGUCGGGUAAGUUCCGACCCGCACGAAAGGCGUAACGAUUUGGGCACUGUCUCAACGAGAGACUCGGUGAAAUCAUAGUACCUGUGAAGAUGCAGGUUACCCGCGACAGGACGGAAAGACCCCGUGGAGCUUUACUGUAGCCUGAUAUUGAAAUUCGGCACAGCUUGUACAGGAUAGGUAGGAGCCUUUGAAACGUGAGCGCUAGCUUACGUGGAGGCGCUGGUGGGAUACUACCCUAGCUGUGUUGGCUUUCUAACCCGCACCACUUAUCGUGGUGGGAGACAGUGUCAGGCGGGCAGUUUGACUGGGGCGGUCGCCUCCUAAAAGGUAACGGAGGCGCUCAAAGGUUCCCUCAGAAUGGUUGGAAAUCAUUCAUAGAGUGUAAAGGCAUAAGGGAGCUUGACUGCGAGACCUACAAGUCGAGCAGGGUCGAAAGACGGACUUAGUGAUCCGGUGGUUCCGCAUGGAAGGGCCAUCGCUCAACGGAUAAAAGCUACCCCGGGGAUAACAGGCUUAUCUCCCCCAAGAGUUCACAUCGACGGGGAGGUUUGGCACCUCGAUGUCGGCUCAUCGCAUCCUGGGGCUGUAGUCGGUCCCAAGGGUUGGGCUGUUCGCCCAUUAAAGCGGUACGCGAGCUGGGUUCAGAACGUCGUGAGACAGUUCGGUCCCUAUCCGUCGUGGGCGUAGGAAAUUUGAGAGGAGCUGUCCUUAGUACGAGAGGACCGGGAUGGACAUACCUCUGGUGUACCAGUUGUCGUGCCAACGGCAUAGCUGGGUAGCUAUGUGUGGACGGGAUAAGUGCUGAAAGCAUCUAAGCAUGAAGCCCCCCUCAAGAUGAGAUUUCCCAACUUCGGUUAUAAGAUCCCUCAAAGAUGAUGAGGUUAAUAGGUUCGAGGUGGAAGCAUGGUGACAUGUGGAGCUGACGAAUACUAAUCGAUCGAAGACUUAAUCAA
rnacentral:rRNA from 1 species